rnacentral:rRNA from 1 species
GAUGAACGCUGGCGGCGUGCCUAAUACAUGCAAGUCGAGCGAACGGACGAGAAGCUUGCUUCUCUGAUGUUAGCGGCGGACGGGUGAGUAACACGUGGAUAACCUACCUAUAAGACUGGGAUAACUUCGGGAAACCGGAGCUAAUACCGGAUGAUAUUUUGAACCGCAUGGUUCAAAAGUGAAAGACGGUCUUGCUGUCACUUAUAGAUGGAUCCGCGCUGCAUUAGCUAGUUGGUAAGGUAACGGCUUACCAAGGCAACGAUGCAUAGCCGACCUGAGAGGGUGAUCGGCCACACUGGAACUGCGACACGGUCCAGACUCCUACGGGAGGCAGCAGUAGGGAAUCUUCCGCAAUGGGCGAAAGCCUGACGGAGCAACGCCGCGUGAGUGAUGAAGGUCUUCGGAUCGUAAAACUCUGUUAUUAGGGAAGAACAUAUGUGUAAGUAACUGUGCACAUCUUAACGGUACCUAAUCAGAAAGCCACGGCUAACUACGUG